rnacentral:rRNA from 1 species
AUGAUUGCGGAGACCACUCCGAAGAGGUCAAGGCUGAGCAUAUCCAUUGAGGACGACGACGAUGUUGAUGAAGAUGCCAACAAUAAACCGGAAGGAAGCAAGAUUGCAAAAGAAAGAAAGAAGAGGAAUGUAUUCAGUGGCACUUACAAGGAUGAACUUGUGUCAAUGAUCGAGACGAAGGUGUUGGCGGCCGAACACAAAGAAGAAAAGGUGGCGAGGUGGAAUGAGCUCAAGGCCUUCGAGGAUGAGAAGUGGAAGACCAAGAUGGUGGCCGAAGAGAGAAAGUUGAAGGCCGAGGAGCGUAGGUUUGCACUUGAUGUGGAGAGGAUUCGUGAUGCAAAGAAACAAACACACACUUUGUCAAUUGACAGUCAUUUCCGAGACAGCUGCUAG